rnacentral:rRNA from 1 species
CCUACGGGUGGCAGCAGUGGGGAAUAUUGCGCAAUGGGCGAAAGCCUGACGCAGCGACGCCGCGUGAGGGAUGAAGGUCUUCGGAUCGUAAACCUCUGUCAGCAGGGAAGAACGGUCACUGUGCUAAUCAGCAGUGAAUUGACGGUACCUGCAAAGGAAGCACCGGCUAACUCCGUGCCAGCAGCCGCGGUAAUACGUAGGUUGCGAGCGUUAAUCGGAAUUACUGGGCGUAAAGCGCUCGUCGGCGGUAUGUCAAGUCAAGGGGGAAAUCCCCGCGCUUAACGUGGGAAAUGCCUUAGAAACUGGCAAACUGGAGUGUGUGAGAGGAUAGUGGAAGUCCAGGUGUAGGAGUGAAAUCCGUAGAUAUCUGGAGGAACAUCAGUGGCGAAGGCGACUAUCUGGCACAUAACUGACGCUGAGGAGCGAAAGCGUGGGUAGCAAACAGGAUUAGAUACCCUUGUAGUC